AAAACAACCAGUUUGAUGGUUCCUGUAAGAAAUUUACUACAAUAAGGGUUUGAUUUUGACGAGUCUAAAGGUUUAUUGAUUAGUUUUUCAAACUAUUUUUUUUUUCAUUUUUGUAGUUUGUUUAUUCAGCGUACAAUAAUUUAUGUUUUCCCAAACAUAACUUGGAUUAAAAGUUGUACAUGGCUAUAAUUCAAUCAGUAGACUUUUCGGACUUAGUACAUAAUAUUUUUGGAGAGGUUGGUUGUAUGUAAUAUAGACUAGGUAAUUUUUAGAAAUUACUGAAUGUGUUUUGAUCUAAAACCAGACCAAAGAAAAAUUCACAUGCAAUACCUAUAAGAUUCUAUCAAUGCACCAUACUAUCAAAAAAUAUCAAUGGGGCAUUCCGAGAAUCGAUCUCGGGACCUCUCGCACCCAAAGCGAGAAUCAUACCACUAGACCAAAUCCCCGAUUGCUAAGCAUAUUAGAUGCGUGGUUGAAGGUCACAGUAUUGGCCCUUUGUGAGCAUGUUCUCUUAGUUGCUUUAGCCAAAUAAUGAAGGUUGAAUAUGGUAUUCCGAAAUCUGUGCGACCAUUUUCUUAGAUUUUACAAGCCUUUGGAGACAAGAAAAAACAACCAGUUUGAUGGUUCCUGUGAGAAAGUUACUACAAUAAGGGUUUGCUUUUGACGAGUCUUAAAGUUUAACGGGUAGUUUUUCAAACUAUUUUUUUUUUUUAAUUUUUGAAGAUCGUUUACUCAGUGUACAAUAUUUUAUGUUUUCCCAAACAUAAAUAGGAUUAAAAGUUGUACAUGGCUAUAGUUCAAUCAGUUGAUUUUUCGGACUUAGUAGAUAUUGUUGUUGGAGAGGUUGGUUGUAUGUAAUAUAGACUAGGUAAUUUUUAGAAAUUACUGAAU
rnacentral:lncRNA from 1 species